AGAGCGAGGGCCAAUAGCACCGCCGUUUUAGCGCUAGAAGGACGGUUCACAAAUGCGUUCUUGGCCAAUGGGAGCGCGCGCUGGUUAUAAUGAUUUACAUUCUGUUUGAGGGAUGCCGUUACAAAUCGAAACAAAUUUCUGUAUUUUUACGGGUGAGAUGUGGGAAUCCAGCUGUCCAUGGUUUAGGGACUCUGCAGGUGUAGAGUUCCUGGGGACACUCAAGGAUUGUCCAAACAAGCCGAGGCAGACUGGCAGGCGCCAGCGCCGUGACGUCACCCAUUCAUCCGAGCAUUGACGCCUGUCAGCCUGGCGCCGAGCGGGCGGUCGCUAUGGAGACCUCAAACAACAGGCUCUCAUUCCCCCAUUCACCUGCAUAGCGCGCAAACCCUGAGAACAAACUGGCUGCGGUGAUCAUCAUUCAUUUAUCACCUUAAGUCACUCUGAUGAUAUUACCGCCCCACGCACCUGCAAAGACUAUUUAGGGAAAGAAAGCUAAAGAUGGAGAGCUGUAAAGUGAAAGCAUGCAUUUGUACCGCAUUUUUACCAAAUUGAUAGGAUAAGUUGUGGCAGCAUUCCUUCACAUGGAAAUAUGUCUAUAUGCAGGAGUCUGUCUCUGUGGAUGUCUCAUCACAUGAACACACUAGCAACCAGCAAAAUGUGUUAUAUGAAAUAUGCAGCUUUUCUCAAAGCUAGAAUGUCCAAGAAAAAGUGAUGUAUACAUUAACCAAGCUAUUGAUUGCAAACAGUGUUUUAUAGUGCAAUUAUAUGUCAUGCAACAUUUUAAGACCAUAUGCGAAAAUAACUAUAAAGGUUUUUUUUUUUUUUUUUUGUAAAUGUUCCCCUAGUUUUUCUAGGUUAAUUUGCUUAUGUAUAUAAUUGCAAUUGUUUUUAAAUAUUACAUUUAUAAACUAAACCCAUUGUUAUAAGGAUCCAAAUAAAUUACCCAUAUGAGUAAGCAACCAGCCUCACAAGCAAAAAGGAUGACUUAACUUUGUUUUUACCAGAAAUAAUAGUUAACAAGGAACCUUUUUUUUUUUUACUUGCUGCAGUAGCCCCUAAAACUAAAAAAAAAUAUAUAUAUAUUGCCCUCUGUCCCAGGUCGCAGAUGACAUGGCAGAGGGAGAAGGGGGGGCAGCAAGAACAAUGGGAGUGCGGUGCAGGGAUUGUGGGAGAGAAUCUAGACUGGAGCCACAGUGUCUGGAGCGCCCCUCCAAUCCCCUCAUCCAGCUUUUGUUCAGCUGCAAAAGCUAUCAGCACUUCCUACUGACACCAACAAUAACUCCACACAGCUGGGCCCUUUUCAGCCUGUUUGCAGCACAUCAAGGCAAUGGAAGAGAGAGGGAAGAGGCAGAGGAGGGAAAAGAAAAGUGAAACAUAUUAACUCCUGAUUUUAACUGACAGAAUAGCAAUGCCUCCCACCAUCACCCACCCAUCCAAAAUUCCCUCUUCCAUGGCCAGUUAUUCAUUGUAGUUAAUGCUGGAAUGCAAACUGACAUGUAAUUGCACCAAUGAAUUAUAAUGAUUUGUGGUAAAAAUUUGAUCCCACAUUGUAUUUCAUCUUUGUACAUUGUAUUCUGUAUGUAUCAAUGUCAACACAUGCAAUCAGAUUACUUGAUGAUGGCAGCUGAUGACGGAGACACUAGCAUCCUUUAAACUUCUUUCUGGACAAGACAGCAGCCUUUGACACAGUGAAUCAUGAGAUUCUCAUCAGCAGACUUAAGAACUUUUUGGGAUUCUCUGGCACAGCACUCCAGUGGUUUUGCUCCUAUCUGACUGAUAGACAAGAAUUUGUGACACUUGGAAAUUAUGAACCCAACCCUGCCACAGUCACUCAAGGGGUCCCACAGUGCUCUGCUCUGGGGCCACUCCUGUUAACUAUAUACAUGCUGCCACUUGAUAUACUAAUCCAAAGAUUUGGAGUAAACUUUCAUUUUUAUGCUGUUGACCCAGAAAUAUAUUUGAGAACAAAAGGGGACACUGAGACUGUAACAACCAAACUGACAGAACUGUCUAGAUGCAACCAAGAGAUGCAUGCAGUUGAACUUCCUAAAACUUAAUUGCAGCAAAAGAGAGCUUGUGCCCUUUGGCUCUAAGAGUGCACAGAGUAAGAUGAGCACUUUCUACAUUUUAACCACCUGUAUAACAUUGCUUGAAUCAGGUUAUUCUUGUCCACUGCAGAUGCUGAGAAGCUUGUCCAUGCCCUGGUGACAUCUCAGCUUGACUAUUGUAGUGCACAGCUGACAGAAAUCGCAGUAAGGCUUCUGUCUCGACUCCAGAUAAUCCAGAACGAAGCUGCCAGGAUGCUCUCACAAACUACACAAAAAACUCACAGCACCCCUGUUUUAUUCAACCUCCAUUGGCUUCCUGUUCAAUACAGGAUCACAUUUUAAAUUCUGCUGCUGACCUUGUUUUUUCUACUUUUUGAUGUAUUGUUGCUGAAUUUUGUUUGUGUUUUUACAAAUAAAUUAUUAUUACUAUCAAA